GUAAAGCCAAUGAUUAGAGGC
rnacentral:snRNA from 1 species